rnacentral:tRNA from 1 species
AGUUAAUGAACUUGAAUAAGUAUAUAUUUUGAAAAUAUAAAAUAGAAUUUAUAUUCUAUUAACUU